rnacentral:rRNA from 1 species
UACGUAGGCAGCGAGCGUUGUUCGGAGUUACUGGGCGUAAAGGGUGUGUAGGCGGUUGUUUAAGUUUGGUGUGAAAUCUCCCGGCUCAACUGGGAGGGUGCAUUAGAAACUGGAAUGCUAGAGGAUGGGAGAGGGUCGUGGAAUUCCCGGUGUAGCGGUGAAAUGCGUAGAGAUCGGGAGGAACACCAGAGGCGAAGGCGGCGACCUGGACAGGUACUGACACUCAACUACGAAAGCGUGGGGAGCAAACAGG